rnacentral:rRNA from 1 species
AACGAACGCUGGCGGCAUGCCUAACACAUGCAAGUCGAACGAGACCUUCGGGUCUAGUGGCGCACGGGUGCGUAACGCGUGGGAACCUGCCCUUAGGUUCGGAAUAACUCCCCGAAAGGGGUGCUAAUACCGGAUAAUGUCUUCGGACCAAAGAUUUAUCGCCUUUGGAUGGGCCCGCGUUGGAUUAGCUAGUUGGUAGGGUAAAAGCCUACCAAGGCGACGAUCCAUAGCUGGUCUGAGAGGAUGAUCAGCCACACUGGGACUGAGACACGGCCCAGACUCCUACGGGAGGCAGCCAGUGGGAAUAUUGGACAAUGGGCGAAAGCCUGGUCCAGCAAUUCCGCGUGAGUGAUGAAGGCCUUAGGGUUGUAAAGCUCUUUUACCCGGGAUGAUAAUGACAGUACCGGGAGAAUAAGCUCCGGCUAACUCCGUG